CUAACCCUUCUCCUAACCCAACCCUAACCCUACUCCCAACCUAACCCUACUCCUAACCCUAACCCUACUCCUAACCCAACCAUAACCUUACUCCUAAUACUACCACUAACCCUACUCCUAACCCAACCCUAAACCUACUCCUAACCAUACUCUUACCCCAACCCUAAUCCUACCCCUAACCCUACUCCUAACCCAACACUAACCCUACUCCUAAC